CUCCGGUUCAGCCCAUUUCAAACAGGAAUGUCUGCAGACACCGUAGCAGGAUCCCUGCCCACAGGGAAUAUGCAGUUCCAGCCUGUUUCAGAGAGGCAUGUCUGCAGAUGCCAUACCAGUGUCCCUGGCCAUAGGGAACAUGCUGAUCCAGCCCACACCCUGGCAGCAUUCCACUGGACACCCCCCACCCCCCGCUCCUCUGGCCUCUUGUCUGUAUUUCCACCUGGAUCCACACUGCAAACACACAGAGGACACCAGACCACCAGAACACUGUACUGGGAAACAGAGAGACCAAGAGAAAGCAGCAGCUUCAGCAGCAGCCCUAAAAGAAAUAGACUGUAAUUCUGAUCCUCAAGACUGCAGGAAGAGCUCGACGACUAAACCCACCUGCCACCACUGCAAAAAGCCAGGCCAGCUUAAGAAGGUCUGUGACAAGAGGCCUCCUGGUCCAUGCCCCGAUUGCAAAGGUGACCACUGGAAGUUGAACUGCCCUCUGAGGCCCCAGAGCUCAGACCCAUCUUGCCAGGUGGUCCAGCAAGACUGAAGGGUCCCAGGGACUCUGCCUUCUCCCUCUGGCUAGACUGUCAUUUCCACAGAGGAGCCCUGGGUAAUCAUGACUAUAGAGAGAAAAUAAACCAGC
rnacentral:lncRNA from 1 species